rnacentral:misc_RNA from 1 species
AAGUCGUAACAAGGUUUCCGUAGGUGAACCUGCGGAAGGAUCAUUAAUGAAACUUCAAAGUCGGCUCGUCUAUCUGUGCUGGUGGAGACACAUGUGCACGUUGGCGAGUCGCAAAUCCACACACCUGUGCAUCUAUGACUCUGAGUACCGCUUUGCAUGGCCCUCUGGGGCCUGGUACUCGAGUACUUUACACACUCUGAAUGUAAUGGAAUGUCUUUUUGUACAAUGUACAACUAAAAACAACUUUCAACAACGGAUCUCUUGGCUCUC